AUUUUGCAACAAAAGGUCCAAUAUUAUGAAAUAUCAGAAUCAAUCUAUCCUAUUCCCAAACUAGGAAGGUCCAAAUAUAGGUGAUGAAAAAUGGCUGGUCGAGUCCCCUGCAACACUUGUGCCAUAAUAUGCAGCCAUGAGAAGGCGAAGCCUCCGCGGCCACGCAGGAUAAUCCUGGUCCGGCACGGGCAGAGCCAAGGCAACGUGGAUGAGUGCGUGUACACACGAGUGGCUGACCCGAAGGUGAUGCUGACGGAGCAAGGGAUAGCCGAGGCAGAGGAGUGUGGUAGAGAGAUUAGAAAGAUGAUAGAGAGAGAUGGAGCUCAUGACUGGAAAGCCUACUUCUACGUCUCUCCUUAUAAAAGGUCUCUCGAGACCCUUCGGAAUUUGGCUAAGGCUUUUGAAAGAUCAAGAAUUGCUGGUGUUAGAGAAGAGCCAAGAUUGAGAGAGCAGGAUUUUGGGAAUUUCCAAGAUCAAGAGCAGAUGAAGAUUGAAAAGGCUGCUAGGAAACAGUAUGGGAGAUUCUUCUACAGGUUUCCAAAUGGUGAAUCAGCUGCAGAUGUUUAUGACAGAAUCACAGGGUUCAGGGAAACGCUGAAAAGCGAUAUUGACGUGGGGAGGUUUCAGCCACCGGGGGAGCAGAGCCCGGAUAUGAACAUAGUGAUAGUGUCACAUGGACUGACGUUGCGCGUUUUCUUGAUGAGAUGGUACAAGUGGACGGUCGAGCAGUUCCAGGGGCUGCAUAAUUUUGGCAAUGGCAAGUUUCUUGUGAUGGAAAGAGGUUAUGGAGGGAGGUACUCCUUGUUAAUGCACCAUUCUAGAGAGGAGCUGCAAAAGUUUGGACUAACACAAGAAAUGCUGAUUGACCAAGAAUGGCAGAGUCAUGCCAAGCCUGGUGAGCUAAACUAUGACUGCACCAUGACUGGGCCUAGCUACUUCACUCACUUGGACGACCGUCAAGAAAGCCCUGGUUGAACCAUGGAGGCGAAAGAUCACUAGAGAAGAUGUAGUGUAAAGAAGGAAAGAAGCAAAAGGAAGCCUAGAAUGUUGUAAAAAUCAUGGAGGUGAAAGAUCAAAGUAUGCAGAAGAAAAGAAAGAGAGAGAGAAAGAGGAGGCCUAGAUAGUAGUAUUUCACAAUGGAUCACACACUUACAUGAUAUGGAAACAACAUAUGUUUAAAUCAA